ensembl:lncRNA
ACAAAGAUGUGUCUCAAAUGUUGCUAUUGAAGCCUUUUACGAACUCUCGUGCUAAUCAGCGAGGAGAGCCUGCAACUUUUCCAUGUAACGUGGAGUCCGUGCUGACAAGCAGCUUAUCAGCGCUAAGGAUAACCGCUGUGUUUUAGCAGCGGCAUCAGAAGAUGCUCUCCACGUUUGCCUUCUUUAGAACUGAGUACUUAAGAAAUUACCAGAAUGUUGCCAGGAGCCUUGCCUACAAGCUGCUGCCUUUGAGAAUUUUUGCAAGCAUUUACAAGAGCAACCAGAAUGCAUUCCAUCCGUUAUGAAUCUCUUAGCUCAUGGGAAGGACAGGAUUGUAAGGUGUCUUCCUAGGGCCUCUCAGACACAUCUAAUAGUCUAGUCAUCUUCUGCAAAUCUGUGUAUCUCUUAAAAACGCUCCUCCGAUUUUAAAGCAUUAUGAAAAAGGGUGCUGAUGUCAAGCUGCGCUUGAUCCUGACAAGUGAGGUCACGGGGCAGUCAGUAUUACUUACUGAACAUCUACUUUGUGCUUUGAGCACUGAUUUGCAUGCUGCUCAUGUACAAGAGGACAAAAGAAUCCUGAAAGAACUCACAGUCCGUGGAGGAUACACAGAAGCUUUGAUCAAGUACCUCUGGCAGCAGGGAAAGAACAAAGAGAGUCCUUGGGCAACAAGGUGGGCUUCCCAGAGAAGCUAACAGUCACCCUCGGCUUCAAGAAUGAGGAUUCUAGGAAAAGGAAUGUUGGUACCUUUUACACUGUGUUCUUUAUCCUGGUGACCAAGCCUCUCCCUUGUCCCCUGCAAAAAAAAAAAUAAUAAUUAAAUAAAUGAAAAUCAUGGUUAUACACUAGUAACAAUGCUUUGAUCUUGGGUGUCAAGAAAUCCUAUCUCCAAAUAGUCCCUGUUAAAAUGUGAAGGAGGUUAGCGCAUUGACUCAUUUAUAGGACUUGUAAUAACUCUUAUAUCAGGCAGCUGAUAUGAGGUUCAACUGAGAAGAUAUUUGGGAAAUCCCAUUCUUUUGUAAAUUGUAAAGUACAGAGCAAGUGUUAAGUAUUCAUGACAUUCUCACUCUUGUCAUAGUAAAACCAUUCUUGCUGUUUUAA